GAGAAAGGAGGAAGGCAGUUGAAUAAGUUUGGUACUAAAGGAAGUGGACCAGGACAGUUCAUCAACCCAUGUGGUAUUAUCCCGUCCAACGGCAGAUUGCUGGUUGUGGAUCAGUCCAAUCACCGUAUCCAGGUUUUCACUACUGAUGGAAACUUCAUUACCAUGUUCGGAUCAGAAGGAGAGUCAGAUGGUCAGUUCAAGUAUCCUAAGUACAUUGCCGAGGAUAGGCAUGGACACGUCCUGGUCACUGAUAAUAACAACCACCGUGUUCAAGUGUUCACUUCUGACACAUUCUCUCACGUGGCUACUUUCGGUUCAAGCAGUUGUCUUUCUCAUCCGGUCGGCAUUGCAGUAUCACCCAGUGGUGCUGUGUAUGUUAGUAACUAUGGCAAAAACUGUAUCACAAUGUUCUAACUUUUGUCCUGGAGCAUCUUGUUUCUUGUUCUACACUAAUGUUUCUCACUGCUGUGAAACAUGAACAGGACCAGUAUUAGCAGUUUGUUUGCUCAGGCUUAACUAUAGUUUUUCAGUUUUUUUGUGUGACACAUCGAGUAUGAAUAACGUUGCCCGUAGCUAACAUGUAUUGGGCAGGCCAACAGUAGAUCCAGCCAAGUCAUGACCGACUGGACCAGUUCCAACAUGCCUGAUUAAGAUGGUGAACAUUAUGAGCAUUGCCAAUAUUUUUGCUGUUUCUCAUACUUGCGUGCUUGAAUGCGUGCUUGCAUAUGUGUGUAUAUGUGUGUGUGCAUUUGUUUGUGUGUGUAUGUGUGUGUCAGUGUGUGUGUGGGUGUGGGUGUGUGUGUGUGUGUGUGUGUGUGUGUGUGUGUGCAUGUUUGUGUAUGCGUUUGUGUAUGCAUGCAUUUGCUUAUGAACUCCUGCACUGAGUUGUAUAUAUACAUUGUAUUUGGAUCACUCUCAUUGUUACAAUCCUAUUCUCGAUGUGCAGAGGAUGAUUCUAUUGAUUGUGUUGGCUGGGUGCUCUUUUUCCUUUCUCUGAAAAUCCAUUGCAUUUCAGCAAAAUGUCUCGCUGCUAAGUGUCGCAAUACAUCAUAAAGUUUAUUAAAGUCACUUUUGGAUACAAUGAAGAAUGUGCACAAUGUCUGAGGUGCUGUUUUCUUUCUAUCGUGUUUUGUGGUGCUUAGUGCUAAUAUCUAUAUUUUAGAAUUGUUUCAAAAUGUUUUAAAUCCUGCUGCUCACCCUUUGUUUGUUUGAAGAGAUGGAGUAUUGAUAGUUGUCUGAUGAUUGCCUAUGGAGUAUGGACAUGAAACUCUUACUUCGAAGUAGUUACAAUGAUGAUG